UCACACUAUUCCUUCCAAGGAUAUGUAGGAACGUAGUACAUAGAAAGAAAAAGGGAAAAUAUAUAUAUAUUAUGCUAUAUUUUUUCCCUUUUUCUUUCUAUGUAUUACAUUCCUACAUAUCCCUGGAAGGAAUAGUGUGAU